rnacentral:rRNA from 1 species
AUUGAACGCUGGCGGCAGGCUUAACACAUGCAAGUCGAACGAUGAAACUCUAGCUUGCUAGAUAUGAUUAGUGGCGGACGGGUGAGUAACAUUUAGGAAUCUGCCUAGUAGUGGGGGAUAGCUCGGGGAAACUCGAAUUAAUACCGCAUACGACCUACGGGUGAAAGGGGGCGCAAGCUCUUGCUAUUAGAUGAGCCUAAAUCAGAUUAGCUAGUUGGUGGGGUAAAGGCCCACCAAGGCGACGAUCUGUAACUGGUCUGAGAGGAUGAUCAGUCACACCGGAACUGAGACACGGUCCGGACUCCUACGGGAGGCAGCAGUGGGGAAUAUUGGACAAUGGGGGCAACCCUGAUCCAGCCAUGCCGCGUGUGUGAAGAAGGCCUUUUGGUUGUAAAGCACUUUAAGCAGGGAGGAGAGGCUAAUGGUUAAUACCCAUUAGAUUAGACGUUACCUGCAGAAUAAGCACCGGCUAACUCUGUGCCAGCAGCCGCGGUAAUACAGAGGGUGCGAGCGUUAAUCGGAAUUACUGGGCGUAAAGCGAGUGUAGGUGGCUCAUUAAGUCACAUGUGAAAUCCCCGGGCUUAACCUGGGAACUGCAUGUGAUACUGGUGGUGCUAGAAUAUGUGAGAGGGAAGUAGAAUUCCAGGUGUAGCGGUGAAAUGCGUAGAGAUCUGGAGGAAUACCGAUGGCGAAGGCAGCUUCCUGGCAUAAUAUUGACACUGAGAUUCGAAAGCGUGGGUAGCAAACAGGAUUAGAUACCCUGGUAGUCCACGCCGUAAACGAUGUCUACUAGCCGUUGGGGUCCUUGAGACUUUAGUGGCGCAGUUAACGCGAUAAGUAGACCGCCUGGGGAGUACGGCCGCAAGGUUAAAACUCAAAUGAAUUGACGGGGGCCCGCACAAGCGGUGGAGCAUGUGGUUUAAUUCGAUGCAACGCGAAGAACCUUACCUGGUCUUGACAUAGUGAGAAUCCUGCAGAGAUGCGGGAGUGCCUUCGGGAAUUCACAUACAGGUGCUGCAUGGCUGUCGUCAGCUCGUGUCGUGAGAUGUUGGGUUAAGUCCCGCAACGAGCGCAACCCUUUUCCUUAUUUGCCAGCGGGUUAAGCCGGGAACUUUAAGGAUACUGCCAGUGACAAACUGGAGGAAGGCGGGGACGACGUCAAGUCAUCAUGGCCCUUACGACCAGGGCUACACACGUGCUACAAUGGUAGGUACAGAGGGUUGCUACACAGCGAUGUGAUGCUAAUCUCAAAAAGCCUAUCGUAGUCCGGAUUGGAGUCUGCAACUCGACUCCAUGAAGUCGGAAUCGCUAGUAAUCGCAGAUCAGAAUGCUGCGGUGAAUACGUUCCCGGGCCU